CGCUGGCGGCAGGCCUAACACAUGCAAGUCGGGCGGUAACAGGAAUAGCUUGCUAUUUGCUGACGAGCGGCGGACGGGUGAGUAAUGCAUAGGAAUCUGCCUGGUAGUGGGGGAUAGCCCAGAGAAAUUUGGAUUAAUACCGCAUACGCCCUACGGGGGAAAGCAGGGGAUCUUCGGACCUUGCGCUAUCAGAUGAGCCUAUGUCGGAUUAGCUUGUUGGUGAGGUAACGGCUCACCAAGGCGACGAUCCGUAGCUGGUCUGAGAGGAUGAUCAGCCACACUGGGACUGAGACACGGCCCAGACUCCUACGGGAGGCAGCAGUGGGGAAUAUUGGACAAUGGGCGCAAGCCUGAUCCAGCCAUGCCGCGUGUGUGAAGAAGGCCUUCGGGUUGUAAAGCACUUUCAGCGAGGAGGAAAGGGGUGUUGCUAAUAUCAACGCCCUGUGACGUUACUCGCAGAAGAAGCACCGGCUAACUCCGUGCCAGCAGCCGCGGUAAU
rnacentral:rRNA from 1 species